rnacentral:rRNA from 1 species
UUGGGAGGAAAACCUGCCGGUCAAUACCCGGUAGCUUGACAUUACCUUUAGAAGAAGCACCGGCUAACUCCGUGCCAGCAGCCGCGGUAAUACGGAGGGUGCGAGCGUUAAUCGGAAUUACUGGGCGUAAAGCGUGCGUAGGUGGUUCGUUAAGUCAGAUGUGAAAGCCCUGGGCUCAACCUGGGAACUGCAUUUGAAACUGGCGGACUAGAGUUUAGUAGAGGGGAGUGGAAUUUCAGGUGUAGCGGUGAAAUGCGUAGAUAUCUGAAGGAACACCAGUGGCGAAGGCGACUCCCUGGACUAAAGCUGACGCUGAGGUACGAAAGCGUGGGUAGCAAACAGGAUUAGAUACCCUGGUAGUCCACGCCGUAAACGAUGUCGACUAGCCGUUGGUCCUAUAUACAGGAUUAGUGGCGCAGCUAACGCAUUAAGUCGACCGCCUGGGGAGUACGGCCGCAAGGUUAAAACUCAAAGGAAUUGACGGA